rnacentral:lncRNA from 1 species
GAAUCAUGGGGCAGAUCCAGCGGUGCCAUUUGUGGGAGGCCAGGAAAGACCUUGCUCCUUGGGAAUCAGGCUCCACAGGCCUCUCAGGUCAACCAAGAAAAUGAAUGGACUCCAGCAGCAUCACAGAAUCAAAGCAACACCUAAGGAAUUCACUGUUUCUUCACAUACUUUGAACUGUGAAAACAAGAGUCAUCAUAAUAGCUGCAGUUUACUCAGUACCUACCAGGUACUGUCACCUAUACUGUCUCUAAAGCCCCUACAACCCUGAGCUAAGGAUGAUCAUAUCCCCAACUGCAGAUGAUGACACUGAAGCUCAACGGCUACUCAACUUGCCUGGAAUCCUACAGCAAUUAACAAAAACCAGCAUCACGCUCAAGGUUUUGUGAACUUAUCAGUUCCCUUAUUUCAACUCCUGGUCCUGUUGGAAAAAGUGACAGUUGGGAGGCAGAACUGCGCAUGGUAGCCCAGAGCUCUUACCAUCUGAGCCACGUGCCCAUUCAUUUCUCAUUUCAGAAUACUGCAUUGUGUCACAAGAAUUCAACUAUGUACUCAUGGAGAAGGAGGGAGAAAGCAAGGAAGGAAAAAAGAGAAAAGUAAUUUACAUAGUAACAGCAAUUCUGCUCAACAUUCCAUUCAGUGAGCCGAUACCCUGGAGUGCAGGUGAGAUAGGAACCAUGAAUUCAUUAGUCACAGUUCUCACAGACCUGUAUAAAGUCGGAGACACAAAACCACACAUAGAAUUGGCCCUCCAUCUUUGUGGGUUCUGCAUCUGUGGAUUCAAACCUCAGAUCAAAAUGAUUUGGGGCCAGGCACAGUGGUUCAUGCCUGUAAUCCCAGUUCUUCCAAGGCAGGUGGAUUGCUUGAGGUCAGGAAUCUGAGACCAGCCUGGGCAGCCUGGUGAAACCCCAUCUCUACAAAAAAUACAAAGAUUAGCUGGGUGUGGUGGUGCAUGCUUGUAGUCCCAGCUACUUGGGAGGCUGAGGUGAGAGGAUCACUUGAGCCUGGGAGGUGGAAGUUACAGUGAGCCAAGAUAGUGCCACUGCACUCCAGCCUGGGUGACAGAGCCAUAUACUAUCUCAAAAAAACAAAACAAAAAAACCACAAAACUAUUUGGAAAAAAAAAAAAAAAAACUAUCUGUACUAUCUGUACCAAACAUGUACAAACUUUUUUCUCAUUACUUCAUAAACAAUAAAAUAUAAAAGCUACUUACAUAGCAUUUGCAUUGUAUUAGGUAUUAUAAGUAAUUUACAGGUUAUUUAAAGUAUACAGGAGGAUGUGUGCAGGAUAUAUGCAAAUACUAUGCCAUUGUAUAUCAGGCACUUAAGCAUUGGUGGAUUUUAGUAUCCAAGGGAGGUCCUGGAACCAAUCCCCCAUGGAUACUGAGGGGUGAAUGUACUGUAUCUCAUGGGGAACUUCAGAACUUCGAGGGUGUUAUUGGACUAUUAUUUCAUCUCAUGUGCUGGCAUGAGGAUUUACGUCUGCAUAGAAUGUGUAAGAUGCAGCUCCACCACAACUGCACUCGCACGCUAAUCACAAAAAUGACCGAAAUUAAGUGUAUGAUCUUUAAAAAGGUCAAAGAUAGGCACCUCACAAAAGCAAGUUUCCUAUGGAAAGGAACUCCUCAAGUAGAUUGUUCUAUUCCACUUCCAAGGUAUCUUAAACUACUAGACACCUACUAGGUGAAGCAUGAGGCUAGGCACUGUGCCUAAGCAGCCAAUGCCCCCUCCCUGGCAAGCAUUCUCACUAAGUAAUGAGGGUUAAUGUCCCUGGUACAUUCCACAAUUCCUGUGCUUUGUACCUGGUCUCCAGGCUGGCAGCCUCUUGAAGCAUCUCCUCUGUGACCACGUCUGUGUUAUAAAACUCUCUGAGUGCUUGCAGCAGCUCCUCCUUU